rnacentral:lncRNA from 1 species
UCUAAUAUGCUCCUGAAAGCAUCUGAAAUAUUUAAUUCAUCCCUAUUUUUUUUUUUUUUCAAAUAUACCCUCGUAUAGUUCUCCGUUAUUCAAAAAUAUCCCUACUGUUAGUACCUGUUAAGUUAUCUCGGAUUAAAUCCGGGUUAAAUUUCUAUUAGAGUUAAAAAAAAAUUAAAAUACUUCUUUUGCUCUUAAUUUAAAGACAAAUAAGAAAAGUUGGUCAUGAUAGGUGAAUGAUAUAUUUGAAAAGAAUCAAAAUACUUCUUUCGUCCUUAUCGUAAGGAUAAAUAAUAAAAGUUGGUGAUAGUAGAAGAACAUAUUUGAAAGAGCAAAAUAGCACUUUCACAAAAAUAACGAUUGUUGCUAAUUAACAGUUUAUUAAUAGAAUUUAACUAUAGGGUUAUAUCAGAAAUAAAUUAGAAUAUUAAAAGAUAUUUUUAAUAUUAGCUUUCUGAGAUGGGUAAAUCAAAAAGACGGAAAUUUUUCAAGGAUAUAUAAGCAAAUGCCCCUAAUAAAAAUAAUAAUUAUGAUUAUUAUUAUUAUAAAAUAACAUGUAUUCUAAUAUAUAAUAUAUAAAAAUAAUUUAUUUUGAAUUAUUUAUAUAUAUAUCUUUCAUUAUUCUCAAUAUUCUUUAAAUAACCACCCAACAUUUUUUUGUUAUUCUCAAGAAUAAAAAAAAAUAUUUAACCAAACACAAUUUUGAACAUUCAGAAUAACAAGUUAUUUCAUAAAUAACAAAUUAAUUUUUAAAAUUUUAACCCCUGAAAGAGAAUAAUAGCUAGCCCGACUCAACGACAUGUAAAAUAUUGUUUGUUGCAUAAGAUUUAGGAUACUAUCUAAUAUAUUCUUCAAAACUUAUGAAAUAUUUUAUAUAUUUUUAUCAUUUUUUUUGUUUCAAAUAUACUCAUUGUAUAUUUCUCUUUUAUUAAAAAAUAACCCCAUUUUAAUACCCGUUAAGGCAUAUAUCUCAAAUUAAAGCCGGAUACCAGAGUUAAAAGGAAGUCAAAAUACUUCUUUUCUUCCUAACUUAACGACAAAUAAGAAAAGUUGACGACGGUAGGAGAGUAUAUUUGAAAAGAUAAAAUAAUAAUUUUAUAGAGAAAACAUCAGUUUCAAUUUAAUUUUAGGAGCAUAUUUGAAAUAACUUUGAACAUUAAAAAAAUAUUUUUAAUAUUAGUCUUUCAUAAAAACUAAAUAAAACAUUCGAAAAUUUUCUAAUAAUAUAUAAGCAAUUACCUUCAUAAUUUUUCUGCCAUGGACAGUUACUUAUUGACUUAUGUAUGCAAAAUUUGUGGACGUAAGAUGCCAAAGAGACAAUUCGUGGGCUAUAUAUAAGUGGCCCCACCUAGCUUCAUAUUACACACAUAUAUAUAGGCUGAGGUCAUUAUACUCUUAUGAGUAUAAACCACUCUUAUGAGUAUAAACCCCCUUAUAUUUAUAAAUUUUUAACCGUUGAUUGAUGGGAUAUAUUGUUAGGAUGAUGGUGAUCCCCACUUAGAAUGAUAGUGAUCCACUAAGGUUGAGUGGGUAGUUGGUUGAAUAGUAUGAUCUAACAGGUGCAAAUGAUCAAUGGAAUAAAUCUAAGGGUCAAAAACUCAUGACUAUAAGUGAGCCAAUACUCAUAAAAGUAUUGUAGCCGGACUCUAUAUAGUCCAGCUACUAUACUCUUAUGAGUACGAUCACAUUUGUACUCAUAAGUUGUUUUCGAUGAUAGACCUUCCGAAUUGACGAUUCAGACCGUUAAACAUUAUCUAGAACAUUUAAAACUUCUAGAAAUUAAAUUUUAUAAUUUUCCGAUAUCAUUUACCUUAUGAUCAAUAGCUCACAAAAUUGACAAGUUUUAACGGCUGGUAUGUGAUACUUGCUAGUUUAACGGUAUAAAAGAAUUGGAAUAGCUUGAAUUUUUUAUAGAAAAUUCUAUUCAUUACCUAAAUAAAGAUCAAUAACCCUGAUCCUAAAUUGAAGGAUCCGAUCAUCUAUUUUUAGAAUAUCGUGCGAGUUUGACCGCUCAUUUUAUAUCCGCUUGAUAGACUUUAUAAUGAUUUCGAAAAAUUACGAAAUUUAUUUUCUAGAAGUUUCAAAUACUCUAGAUCAUGUUUAACGGUAUGUAUCGUCAAUUCGGAAGCCCGAACAUCGAAAAUAAUUUAUGAGUACGAAUGGCUCUAUACUCAUAAGAGUAUAGUAGCCCUACUCUCUCUCUCUCUCUCUCUCUCUCUCUCUAAUAUCCUCUUUCUUUUUCUCUCAAAGAAUUUUUUUUUUUUUAAUCUCAU